rnacentral:lncRNA from 1 species
GUAUCAACUGCUGGAGCCGGACCCCGCCCACAACCUCAACCGAAAGGGGGACUCCUCCCAGACUUCUGCAAAGGCCGAACUCCGACCACUGCCGAGCCUUGAUCGACAGAUCCGCAUCCCUUGGCAGAUAACAAUAACUGCCAUGAUCCUAUUCCACUUUCUGUAGCGGAUUUUGCGCGGCUCCACCUCCCCCUGCGGCGGACCCACUACUCUCUGACAGAUUGUGUCAACGGCUACGAUUCUGCUCCGCUCCCUGCGACAGGUGCCGCACGAUCCCACUACUCACUGACAACUAGCGACAACGGACGCCGCCCCACUACCUGCA